rnacentral:rRNA from 11 species
GGCAACGGAUAUCUCGGCUCUCGCAUCGAUGAAGAACGUAGCGAAAUGCGAUACUUGGUGUGAAUUGCAGAAUCCCGUGAACCAUCGAGUCUUUGAACGCAAGUUGCGCCCGAAGCCAUCCGGCCGAGGGCACGUCUGCCUGGGCGUCACACACCGUUGCCCCC